UGAGGAAUAUUGGACAAUGGGUGAGAGCCUGAUCCAGCCAUCCCGCGUGCAGGAAGACGGCCCUAUGGGUUGUAAACUGCUUUUAUACAGGAAUAAACCACCUUUCGUGAAGGGUGUUGAAGGUACUGUAUGAAUAAGCACCGGCUAACUCCNUGCCAGCAGCCGCGGUAAUACGGAGGGUGCAAGCGUUAUCCGGAUUUAUUGGGUUUAAAGGGUCCGCAGGCGGACUAGUAAGUCAGAGGUGAAAGCCGGCAGCUUAACUGUCGAACUGCCUUUGAAACUGCAAGUCUUGAGUGAAAUUGAAGUAGCUGGAAUGAGUAGUGUAGCGGUGAAAUGCAUAGAUAUUACUCAGAACACCAAUAGCGAAGGCAGG
rnacentral:rRNA from 1 species